rnacentral:rRNA from 1 species
CCUACGGGAGGCAGCAGUAGGGAAUCUUCCACAAUGGGCGAAAGCCUGAUGGAGCAACGCCGCGUGGGUGAAGAAGGCCUUCGGAUCGUAAAACUCUGUUGUUAGAGAAGAAAGUGCGUGAGAGUAACUGUUCACGUUUCGACGGUAUCUAACCAGAACGCCACGGCUAACUACGUGCCAGCAGCCGCGGUAAUACGUAGGUGGCAAGCGUUAUCCGGAUUUAUUGGGCGUAAAGGGAACGCAGGCGGUCUUUUAAGUCUGAUGUGAAAGCCUUCGGCUUAACCGGAGUAGUGCAUUGGAAACUGGGAGACUUGAGUGCAGAAGAGGAGAGUGGAACUCCAUGUGUAGCGGUGAAAUGCGUAGAUAUAUGGAAGAACACCAGUGGCGAAAGCGGCUCUCUGGUCUGUAACUGACGCUGAGGUUCGAAAGCGUGGGUAGCAAACAGGAUUAGAUACCCUUGUAGUC